rnacentral:misc_RNA from 1 species
CGCACAUUGCGCCCGCCAGUAUUCUGGCGGGCAUGCCUGUCUGAGCGUCAUUUCAACCCUCAUGCCCCUAGGGCGUGGUGUUGGGGAUCGGCCAAAGCCCGCAAGGGACGGCCGGCCCCUAAAUCUAGUGGCGGACCCGUCGUGGCCUCCCCUGCGAAGUAGUGAUAUUCCGCAUCGGAUAGCGACGAGCCCCUGCCGUUAAACCCCCCAAACUUUUACAAGGUUGACCUCAGAUCAGGUAGGAAUACCCGCUGAACUUAA